AUUCAUAGAUAAAACAGCUAAA
rnacentral:snRNA from 1 species